AUGAAGCUCGGGAUCUCUCUCCCCCCGCCCCGGAGCGUCGGCGGGAGGGCCAGCGCGCCCCCUGCUUCCUCCGCGUCGUCGGCGGCGCCGUCGCAGCAGCAGGCCUUCUCGCUCCCGCGCCCGAAGCUGCCGCGGCUCUCGGAGUCGGAGGCCUUCGUCGGCCAGGCCCUCCACCGGCCCACGCCCGCGCGCCACCAGGGAUUUGGCUUGCAUGACGACUCGUCGAAGAGGAUGCCUCCAUUUCCUCCCAGUUCAGCUUCUCGUGCACACGAAGAACCCCAGCAGCAGCAACCGGUGAUCGUACCCAGCAGCACUACCCUGCACUGGAACCCCUCUCCUACAGACACUAGAUGUCGGGUUAACGAGGACGCUGAGCGCAGGUUUCAGCACCUGUCAGGUUCAGUACACAAGGUGGGGAUGGUAUUGGACUCGGUACAAACUGAUGUUAUUCAGCUAAACCGAACCAUGAAGGACGCAUCGCUUGAAUCUGGUGUUGUGCAGCAAAAGUUUGAUCUCCUAGAGGAUACACUUCAGAAAAUUAUUAAAGGACAAAAUGAUCUGAAAGUACUUGCUGAAAGCAGCACGAAAAGCAACCUGGAUCAGCUGAAUGUAAUCAACUCUCGCACCAGCAAAUUGAAUGAGAUGUCUUUGGUCGUUUCAGUCUGCCCAAAACAAGUGCAAGCAGAUUUAAGGGAGCUGCAUGGUGACAUCUUCAGGGUUCUUACAAAGGACAUGGAGGGGGUUGUUAGAGAUAUCAGGUCUCUGAGUACUAAGCCUGCUGUAAUGCCAAUGCUGCCAGACCAUGUGGUAGCAAAAGGAAGUCCCCUGAUGAACAAGAUGUCUGUAGCAAACGAAAGGCCUACAAUGAACCAGACACCAGUAGCAAAAGGAAGUCCCCUGAUGAACAAGAUGUCUGUAGCAAAUGAAAGGCCUACAAUGAACCAGACACCAGUAGCAAAUGGACGGCCCCUGAUGAACCAAACACCAGUGGCAAAUGGAAGCCCCAUGAUCAUCAACCAGGCUCGAGUAGGAAAUGGAAGGUCCCAGCUGAAACAAACACCAGUUACAGAUGCAAUGCCCCAGAGGGAUCUAACACCAGAGAUAAAUGGAAGGCCCCAGAAGGACCGAAUACCAUUAGCAGAUGGAUGUCCCCAUAUGGAACAAAUAACACCAACAAAACCCCUUCCUGCAUGUUCCACUUAUACUACAAGGGCGCCAGUUCUGAAGCCAAAGGUAGAACAGGGUAAGGUAAAAGCAGCUCACAUGGUUGGUACAAGCUACAGGCUAGCACCUUCACAGAAAGAGGAGUUGAAUGAAAAGGUCAAUCCCCAAGAGCCAACUAAGAAGGAAGCAAUUAUAAUAAUCAUCGAUUCAGAUAAUGGCAGUAAAGGGUGCACUCCCCGGAUGAUUCUGAACAUGGAACCAGAUGGGCAUGUAUGGCGUACCAUGAUGAGCUUCCCUUCGUUUUCUUUUGGGUGGAGAAGGAAGAGACGACGGCGCCGGUGGAGGAGGCUAGUCCGCUGCGGCUGGCUCCCAUGA
rnacentral:rRNA from 1 species